rnacentral:rRNA from 1 species
UCUGGUGGCGAUAGCGAAGAGGUCACACCCGUUCCCAUACCGAACACGGAAGUUAAGCUCUUUAGCGCCAAUGGUAGUUGAGACUUUGUCCCUGUGAGAGUAGGACGUUGCCAGGC